GAGCGUUUGAUCCUGGCUCAGGACGAACGCUGGCGGCGUGCUUAACACAUGCAAGUCGAGCGAUGAAAUCCCUUCGGGGAUGGAUUAGCGGCGGACGGGUGAGUAACACGUGGGCAACCUGCCUCAAAGUGGGGGAUAGCCUUCCGAAAGGGAGAUUAAUACCGCAUAACAUUAGUUUUUCACAUGAAUUACUAAUUAAAGGAGUAAUCCGCUUUGAGAUGGGCCCGCGGCGCAUUAGCUAGUUGGUGAGGUAACGGCUCACCAAGGCCACGAUGCGUAGCCGACCUGAGAGGGUGAUCGGCCACAUUGGAACUGAGACACGGUCCAGACUCCUACGGGAGGCAGCAGUGGGGAAUAUUGCACAAUGGGCGAAAGCCUGAUGCAGCAACGCCGCGUGAGUGAUGAAGGCCUUCGGGUUGUAAAGCUCUGUCUUUGGGGACGAUAAUGACGGUACCCAAGGAGGAAGCCACGGCUAACUACGUGCCAGCAGCCGCGGUAAUACGUAGGUGGCGAGCGUUGUCCGGAUUUACUGGGCGUAAAGGAUGCGUAGGCGGAUGUUUAAGUCAGAUGU
rnacentral:rRNA from 1 species